GAGUUUGAUCCUGGCUCAGAUUGAACGCUGGCGGCAUGCCUUACACAUGCAAGUCGAACGGCAGCACAGGAGCUUGCUCCUGGUGGCGAGUGGCGAACGGGUGAGUAAUGCAUCGGAACGUAUCCUGGAGUGGGGGAUAACGUAGCGAAAGUUACGCUAAUACCGCAUAUUCUGUGAGCAGGAAAGCGGGGGACCUUCGGGCCUCGCGCUCUUGGAGCGGCCGAUGUCGGAUUAGCUAGUUGGUGAGGUAAAGGCUCACCAAGGCGACGAUCCGUAGCAGGUCUGAGAGGAUGAUCUGCCACACUGGAACUGAGACACGGUCCAGACUCCUACGGGAGGCAGCAGUGGGGAAUUUUGGACAAUGGGGGCAACCCUGAUCCAGCCAUGCCGCGUGAGUGAAGAAGGCCUCGGUUGUAAG
rnacentral:rRNA from 1 species